rnacentral:rRNA from 1 species
GAGCAGUAGGGAAUCUUCCACAAUGGGCGCAAGCCUGAUGGAGCAACACCGCGUGAGUGAAGAAGGGUUUCGGCUCGUAAAGCUCUGUUGUUGGAGAAGAACGUGCGUGAGAGUAACUGUUCACGCAGUGACGGUAUCCAACCAGAAAGUCACGGCUAACUACGUGCC